AUUGAACGCUGGCGGCAGGCCUAACACAUGCAAGUCGAACGAGUGGCGGACGGGUGAGUAAUGUCUGGGAAACUGCCUGAUGGAGGGGGAUAACUACUGGAAACGGUAGCUAAUACCGCAUACCAUCAGAUGUGCCCAGAUGGGAUUAGCUUGUUGGUGGGGUAUAGGCUCACCAAGUCGACGAUCCGUAGUUGGUCUGAGAGGAUGACCAGCCACACGGGAACUUAGACACGGUCCAGACUCCUACGGGAGGCAGCAGUGGGGAAUAUUGCACAAUGGGCGCAAGCCUGAUGCAGCCAUGCCGCGUGUGUGAAGAAGGCCUUCGGGUUGUAAAGUACGUUCAGCGGGGAGGCGUUACCCGCAGAAUAAGCACCGGCUAACUCCGUGCCAGCAGCCGCGGUAAUUC
rnacentral:rRNA from 1 species